rnacentral:rRNA from 1 species
UACGUAGGCAGCGAGCGUUGUUCGGAGUUACUGGGCGUAAAGAGUGCGUAGGCGGUUUUCUAAGUUUGGUGUGAAAUCUCCCGGCUCAACUGGGAGGGUGCGCCGAAGACUGGAAGGCUUGAGUAUGGGUGAGGUAAGCGGAAUUCCUGGUGUAGCGGUGAAAUGCGUAGAUAUCAGGAGGAACACCUGCGGUGUAGACGGCUUACUGGACCAUAACUGACGCUGAGGCACGAAAGCGUGGGUAGCAAACAGG